CUCUUCGAUGUUCUGGGCUGCACGCGCGCUACAGUGGCAAAGACAGAGAGCAUGAAUUAAUUAUAGAGUCGCAUCGAGGGAUGUGACGAAUCAGCAGUCGUUGUCGUGAUUGGGAUUGAGCGUUGUAAUAUUUGCUCAUGAAAGAGGAAUUCCUCGUAAGCGCGAGUCACUAACUCGUGUUAAUUACGUCUCUGCCCUUUGUACACACCGCCCGUCGCUACUACCGAUUGAACUGGUUUUUGAAGUGUAGAGAUUGGCAGGCAUGGUUUACGUGCAUUGCAAAGAACCACUCUGAAAAAAUCGUUCGAGAAGAAGUAAAAGUCGUAACA
rnacentral:rRNA from 1 species